rnacentral:tRNA from 1 species
CAAGACGUAGCUCAACAUCACAGCACUCAGCUUACACCUGAGAGAUACUUGCCCACAACUCAGGUCAUCUUGA